rnacentral:misc_RNA from 1 species
AGCAGCCGCGGUAAUUCCAGCUCCAAUAGCGUAUAUUAAAGUUGUUGCAGUUAAAAAGCUCGUAGUUGAAUUUCGGGAUUGACACAUCGGUCGUGCCUUAAGGGGUAUGAACUGGUGUAGUCAAUUUCUCACCUUCUGGAGAACCGCGAUGCCCUUAAUUGGGUGUCGCGGGGAACCAGGACCUUUACUUUGAAAAAUUAGAGUGUUUAAAGCAGGCAUUUUGCUUGAAUACAUUAGCAUGGAAUAAUAAAAUAGGACGGCAUGAUUCUAUUUUGUUGGUUUCUAGGAUCACCGUAAUGAUUAAUAGGGAUAGUUGGGGGCAUUAGUAUUCAAUUGUCAGAGGUGAAAUUCUUGGAUUUAUUGAAGACUAACUACUGCGAAAGCAUUUGCCAAGGAUGUUUUCAUUAAUCAAGAACGAAAGUUAGGGGAUCGAAGACGAUCAGAUACCGUCGUAGUCUUAACCAUAAACUAUGCCGACUAGGAAUCAGACGAUGUUAAUUUUUUAAUGACUACGUUUGGC